AUAUAUAUAGUUUAGAUUAACCUAAUUAGUUUAGGUAAAUUAGUUUAGGUAACAUAACUAAUUUAGGGUGCGGAGUUAGUUUAGGUUAUGAAAGUAGUGAAAGUAGUUAAGGUUAAGGUUGCAUAAUUACUGAAUAUAAUUUGUUGUCUUAUUAAAAUGUUUUAAUUUGAUUUUUUUUUUGUAGAUAGUUUCCGAUGAGCUAUUUCCCCACGAAAACUAUCGUAUACCACCAGAUAUUUCCCAAACUAUGACCUUAUUCUAUUUAUCCCCGAAUAUAAAAUUUCAGCUUUAUUUCCCCGUAGAAAAAAGAUUAAAUACUUAUUUCUCUAGAAUCAAAGUUCGAAACCUCUAAACCCAUAAAAUUGGAUUACUCUGGUUUACUGUAUAUAAAUUAAACCAAAACUAAAUAAAUCUAACUAUAAAACAAUAGAAGACCAAUUAACCAAUAACACAUAAUUAACUCUCAUUUGAACCGAAACUAACCCAAAAAUAUUGGUCACUACCGGACCCAGCAACCACAAUCAUCUCUGCCUCUCCAAUCAUCAUCUUCUCCUUUGUUCUUUGCAACAAAAAAAAAAUCGAACCCUGCGAUAUUGAUGUGAAUCACUGACCGUGAAGGCUAACCCUGCGAUAUUGAUGCAGAGAUCGAAGAAUUGGAGAAGGAAGGAAGGUAGUGACGAAAGCUAGAGGACGAAGCUUGAGUCUGAGAUCUUGCAAAGCUAAGAUGACAGCAGCAGAAAAAAUCAUUCAAUACCCUUUCUUAAAUUUUGAUUACGUACCGGAUUGAUGAAUCUGAUGCUUUGUUACACAUGUCCCAUUCGGAAAAUGGUUUUACAGUUUCAAAUUCAUUUUCUUAAAGUUGAUUUCAUUGUCAAAUUAAGAUUGACUAAUCUUCUUGUAAAACAUUCUAUAAGCGAACAUCUAUAUCCUUAGUCUUCUUUUUCUUAACCAGAAGAUUCAUUGCUCAAACUCCUACGCGGGAACCGGGAGGAAGAAGAAAUCAAAUUAUUUAGAAUCAAGUUUGUUAUAUAAAUGAUUUAUUUUGUUAUGGAGAAACCAAAUUGAUUCCUUGAAGCUGUUAACACAGAGAAACGUUUUUAGGGUUCUUAAUAAUUCAGUUAGAUUAAUUUGGGAAUUUAAAUCUGUCUGGUUUAUUAAUAAGUGUAAUGUCGGGUUAGGUUUAUUUUAUUUCUGGUUGGGUUUUAUGUUUGGUUGGGUUUUAUGUCUGACUAGAUUUUGGUUUGUUUGAUUUACUGUUGGGAAUUAAAGAUUUUGAAUUGGGUUUGACUUACCCAAUAUUUGUGGAGAAAUAAGACUAAAACUUUAUACCGGGAGAGAAAUAGAACGAGGUUAUAGUUUGGGAGAUAUCUGGUGUUAUAUAAUAGUUAUCGUGGAUUAAAUAGAUCGUUGACCCUCCUAGGAAUAAAGGACAAAAAUAUCCACAUUAUAGUGAGACGUUUCACAUGGGACAUGUAGGCGCAUCUAGUUGCUCAGGUCUUUCUUUGGCUCUAUAAGUCAUCCCCGACUCUCAGUCCUAGAUAGCUCCAACACCGGCUCGUAGAGAGCUCCACCACCGGUUCCUCAUCAGGCACCUCUGGUUGCAGGCUUGCAGCACCGGUUGCUCCCCCUGCGGCUCCGGAUGUGCCUCCUGCACAUGCAGCGCCCCUGGCACCUGCGGAUGGACUUCAUCUGGAUUUGAUUGUGCCUACAGAAGCUACAUAUGCCCGAUAUAAUUGAGAAUCUUCUCGUCCAUCCGAGACGAUAAGGUUUAGAUGUAUUGGAUCCCGAUCUACCGAGAGACACUUUCUGGUUUGAAGUCGACGGUUGGGUGGCACAGAGCCGCAUCCCAGUUGAAGUUUGAAACCCGUGCACAUUAGGACCAUGUGAUUCAAUUUUUUUGAGAAAAAAACGGCACGAAAAGGUAAAUGCCAAUGUUCACUGGUAAGGCGAAUACACGCUUAGAAAACAUGGUCUCCGACUGGAAGGAGUUUUGGGAGUUCAAAGGAGAUGAAACGAAACUCACCCUCAUCGCCGUUGGAAACCUGAAGAUGAAACGGAUGUUGGAGCUUAGGCGCUGCAACCUCGGGAUUCCAGAUCCACCACACCGCUCCACGGAGGAACACGUGGAUUUAGAGUGAAGAACCGAAGUCACCAGCUUGGAAUUCUUAGAAGACAUCAACCUCAACCGUUAGUUAAAUUUUUAUUUCUAUUUUCUUUAAUAUUUUUGUUUUGUAAAAUAAUUUUCAAUAUUUCCAUUUAAAAUUUAUUUUUGAAUUUUAAAAUUAUUAACUUGAAAUUGAUGAAAUUAUAAUAAUUUUUGCAAAAAAUUACGUAAUUGACGUAAUCCCUAAUUAAUUUUAAGACGAACUAGCUUUUGAUCCGCGCGGAUGUACCUUCUAUAUAAUUAUAUGUUUUUGUUUGUUGUAAAAAUAUUAAUGUGUUCCAUAGGUUAUUGACCUCUAA